GGUGGUGCUGCUCAGCAGUAGAGCACAUGUUUAGCAUGCAGGAGGUCCUGGGUUCAAUCCCCAAUACCUCCA
rnacentral:tRNA from 1 species